UACGGGGGGGGCAAGCGUUGUUCGGAAUUACUGGGCGUAAAGGGCUCGUAGGCGGCCAACUAAGUCAGACGUGAAAUCCCUCGGCUUAACUGGGGAACUGCGUCUGAUACUGGAUGGCUUGAGUUCGGGAGAGGGAUGCGGAAUUCCAGGUGUAGCGGUGAAAUGCGUAGAUAUCUGGAGGAACACCGGUGGCGAAGGCGGCAUCCUGGACCGAUACUGACGCUGAGGAGCGAAAGCCAGGGGAGCAAACAGG
rnacentral:rRNA from 1 species